CAAUGGGUGAGAGCCUGAACCAGCCAUGCCGCGUGCAGGAAGAAGGCCUUCUGGGUUGUAAACUGCUUUUGCCAGGGGAUAAAAAUACCUUGCGAGGUAAAUUGAAGGUACCUGGUGAAUAAGCCACGGCUAACUACGUGCCAGCAGCCGCGGUAAUACGUAGGUGGCAAGUGUUGUCCGGAUUUAUUGGGUUUAAAGGGUGCGUAGGCGGCCCUGUAAGUCAGUGCUGAAAUAUCCCAGCUUAACUGGGAGGGUGGCAUUGAUACUGCGGGGCUAGAGUACAGAUGAGGUAGGCGGAAUUGACGGUGUAGCGGUGAAAUGCUUAGAUAUCGUCAAGAACACCUAUAGCGAAGGCAGCUUACUAGGCUGUAACUGACGCUGAGGCACGAAAGUGUGGGGAUCAAACAGGAUUAGAUACCCUGGUAGUCCACACUGUAAACGUUGAUUACUCGCUGUGUGCGAUAUACAGUACGCGGCCAAGCGAAAGCGCUAAGUAAUCCACCUGGGGAGUACGC
rnacentral:rRNA from 1 species